AAACAUCGUAGGGGCAGUAAAAAAACAGACACAAGAUGACAUCGAACAAAGCAUCCAAGAGGGAGAAUUGAACCAAAGAAAUGUGACUACGAGCUGCCUUAUCGCUCCUGUGCCUCGCAUCUCCUCAGCCGUCUGUGUGGUCGAGCUGUGCCAGGGGUAGCGACCUGGGUGCCGCCUGCGCAGAAAGUCCAUCCUGCUUUGCGGCAGGCUCUGAUGAAAACCAGCGACAUCUUAGAUUCCGCUCCCUGGUAUGGUCCAAGUCAUCUGCCACACAGGUGCAGCGGAUCUACAUCCACCGGGGUUCCUGUCUUCUGAAAUAUUAAAAAGAGGAAUUUGAGGCACUUGGGUGGUAUGUCGGCAACUCAUUAGGAAAACAUCCAGUGUGUGCAAUUCUAUAGAAGAAUGCUUCUCAACCAACAGAACAGAUCCAACAAAAACUGAAAGCAACUUUUAUCAGGUAUGCAAACACACAUUUGGAGAAGCCAGCUUCAUUUUGGAGGAAGGUGCUGUGGACUCAUGAAACAAAAUUGGAGUUAUUUGGUCAUAACAAGGGGCCUUAUGCAUGGCGUCAAAAGAACACUGCGUUCCAAGACAAACACUUGCUACCUACAGUAACAUUUAGUGGAGGUUCCAUCAUGCUGUGGGGUUGUGUGGUCUGUGCCGGUACUUGAAGUCUUGUUAAAGUUGAAGGUCGCAUGGAUUCCACUCAAUAUCAGCAGAUAAUUGAGAUUAAUCAGGAAUAGAGGAAUCAGUCACAUAGUUUAAGUUAUGCCGGGGCAAAAUAUUUCAACAAGACGACAACUCAUGUACAAUGUUCUGGAAUGGCCCUUCCAGUCACCAGACCUGAAUAUCAUUGGCAACCUGUGUUGUGAUGUGAAGCGGGCUGUCCAUGCUUGGCAACCAUCAAACCGAACUGAACUGGAGAUGGAAGGAGGAAUGGUCCAAAAUCCCUUCAUCCAGAAUCCAAAACCCUUAUUACAGGCUAUAAAAAAGCAGCUAGAAGCCAUUAUUUCAGCUAAAGGAGGCUCAACUACAUAUUGAUGGGAUAUUUCUGUUGGGGUGCCUAAAUUUAUGCACAUACCUUUUUUACUUUUGAUGCAUAAUGCAAA